rnacentral:lncRNA from 1 species
AAAAUUUAUAGGCAAUGCUCAUCAACUUUCUCGGAAUAAAUUAGAAAGGUAUGUCCUCAUACUUGAUUUAAUUUUAUAGUAAUUUUAUUUUAUUUUUAACUAACACAAUAUUUAUCUUUUGUCACAGAUGUAUCUAAGGAAGCUGAAAUUUUCACAAAUUCUAUGCACGUUAUCUCUCCAAAAUGCAAAAUAAAUACUUGAGAAAUCAGCAAGUAUAAUUGAGAGUCGAAAUAUACAAAGAAAAUUAAUCAGAUCAUUUGUGUAAAGAAUGAAUACAAAUAUUUUUGUCUGUUCAAAUGUAAUAUAUUUAUCUAUCACAUUUACAUAUCCACUUUAUUCUAAGAAGGUUAUAAAAAAGAUAUAUAUGCACU